rnacentral:rRNA from 1 species
CCUACGGGUGGCAGCAGUGGGGAAUAUUGCACAAUGGGGGAAACCCUGAUGCAGCAACGCCGCGUGAGUGAAGAAGUAUUUCGGUAUGUAAAGCCCUAUCAGCAGGGAAGAAGAUGACGGUACCUGACCAAGAAGCCCCGGCUAACGACGUGCCAGCAGCCGCGGGAAUACGGAGGGGGCAAGCGUUCUCCGGAUUUACUGGGUGUAAGGGGAGCGCAGACGGGAGUGCAAGGCUGGAGUGAAAGCCCGGGGACCAACCCCGGAACUGCUCUGGGAACUGUGCGGCUGGGUUACUGGAGGGGCAGGCGGACUGCCUAGUGUAGCGGUGAAAUGCGUAGAUAUUAGGAGGAACACCAGUGGCGAAGGCGGCCUGCUGGACAGUGACUGACGUUGAGGCUCGAACGCGUGGGGAGCAAACAGGAUUAGAUACCCGAGUAGUC